rnacentral:tRNA from 1 species
AGGAUUAUAAUUUAACAAAAAUAUUUGAAUUGCAAUCAAAAAAUAUAAAUUUCUUAUUAAUCUUA